rnacentral:rRNA from 1 species
CAAACUGGGAUUAGAUACCCCACUAUGCCUGGCCCUAAAUCUUGAUGUUCCACCUUACCUGAACAUCCGCCCGAGAACUACGAGCACAAACGCUUAAAACUCUAAGGACUUGGCGGUGCCCCAAACCCACCUAGAGGAGCCUGUUCU